UGAGGGCAACUGUCCAGAAGCCCAGAUCCCAUUUCUCUGGAAGCCCUGUGAGGCUGACCCCCUGCCCUGCGCAUCUCCUGUAAACAUCCUGGUGGGAGCUGAGUGGCCCUGGGCUGCCUCCGUCAGAGAUGACACAGAGGCCAGACAGGACCCCCCAGGGACAGACAGACGGACACACACAGCCUCGGACCUGCUGACCUCACACCAGCCAGCCCCGCCUCGCCCAGGGGGUCGGCACAGGCAAGGACCCCCGGCUCCCUGCUAGUAUCCCAGUGGUACCUUCCCCCAAGAUUGUGACCCCCCCCCCACCAGAGCCUCACACACUGGGUCUCCCCUGAUCUCUGAGUUUGUUUCUUCCUGUGUCCCUAGAUCCCAUUGUUUUACAUCAUUGUUUGUCACUCUGG